GCGAUACAGGGUGACAGCCCCGUACACAAAAAUGCACAUGCUGUGAGCUCGAUGAGUAGGGCGGGACACGUGGUAUCCUGUCUGAAUAUGGGGGGACCAUCCUCCAAGGCUAAAUACUCCUGACUGACCGAUAGUGAACCAGUACCGUGAGGGAAAGGCGAAAAGAACCCCGGCGAGGGGAGUGAAAAAGAACCUGAAACCGUGUACGUACAAGCAGUGGGAGCACAGAGCAAUCUGUGUGACUGCGUACCUUUUGUAUAAUGGGUCAGCGACUUAUAUUCUGUAGCAAGGUUAACCGAAUAGGGGAGCCGAAGGGAAACCGAGUCUUAACUGGGCGUUAAGUUGCAGGGUAUAGACCCGAAACCCGGUGAUCUAGCCAUGGGCAGGUUGAAGGUUGGGUAACACUAACUGGAGGACCGAACCGACUAAUGUUGAAAAAUUAGCGGAUGACUUGUGGCUGGGGGUGAAAGGCCAAUCAAACCGGGAGAUAGCUGGUUCUCCCCGAAAGCUAUUUAGGUAGCGCCUCGUGAAUUCAUCUCCGGGGGUAGAGCACUGUUUCGGCAAGGGGGUCAUCCCGACUUACCAACCCGAUGCAAACUGCGAAUACCGGAGAAUGUUAUCACGGGAGACACACGGCGGGUGCUAACGUCCGUCGUGAAGAGGGAAACAACCCAGACCGCCAGCUAAGGUCCCAAAGUCAUGGUUAAGUGGGAAACGAUGUGGGAAGGCCCAGACAGCCAGGAUGUUGGCUUAGAAGCAGCCAUCAUUUAAAGAAAGCGUAAUAGCUCACUGGUCGAGUCGGCCUGCGCGGAAGAUGUAACGGGGCUAAACCAUGCACCGAAGCUGCGGCAGCGACACUAUGUGUUGUUGGGUAGGGGAGCGUUCUGUAAGCCUGUGAAGGUGUACUGUGAGGUAUGCUGGAGGUAUCAGAAGUGCGAAUGCUGACAUAAGUAACGAUAAAGCGGGUGAAAAGCCCGCUCGCCGGAAGACCAAGGGUUCCUGUCCAACGUUAAUCGGGGCAGGGUGAGUCGACCCCUAAGG
rnacentral:rRNA from 1 species